UACGGAGGGUGCAAGCGUUAAUCGGAAUUACUGGGCGUAAAGCGCGCGUAGGCGGCUGGGUAAGUCGAUUGUGAAAGCCCCGGGCUCAACCUGGGAAUUGCAGUCGAUACUGCUCAGCUAGAGUGUGGGAGAGGGUGGUGGAAUUCCCGGUGUAGCGGUGAAAUGCGUAGAUAUCGGGAGGAACAUCAGUGGCGAAGGCGACCGCCUGGCCCAACACUGACGCUGAGGUGCGAAAGCGUGGGUAGCAAACAGG
rnacentral:rRNA from 1 species